rnacentral:rRNA from 1 species
GACGAACGCUGGCGGCGUGCUUAACACAUGCAAGUCGAACGGGCCCGCCCCUGUUUUUGGGGGUGGGUUGAGUGGCGAACGGGUGAGUAUCACGUGAGUAACCUGCCCCCUGCUCCUGGAUAACUGCUUGAAAGGGCGGCUAAUACGGGGUGUGCCGGCUGGUCCGCAUGGGCCUGGUCGGGAUAGUUUCAUCUUCGGGUGUUUCGGUGGGGGAUGGGCUCGCGGCCUAUCAGCUUGUUGGUGGGGUGAUGGCCCAGCAAGGCGGUGGCGGGUAGCCGGCCUGAGGGGGUGGGGGGCCGCGCGGGGACUGGGACACGGCCCAGACGCGUGCGGGAGGCAGCAGUGGGGGGUAUUGCACAGUGGGCGGAAGCCGGAUGCAGCGACGGCGCGUGAGGGAUGGGGGCCGUCGGGUUGUGAACCUCUUUCUCCGGUGGUGAAGGCCCUGUCCGUUGCGGCGGGGUUGACGGUAGCCGGGUAUGAAGCGCCGGCUAACUACGUG